rnacentral:rRNA from 1 species
AUUAAAAAUUUAUUUUUAUUUAUUUAUUUAUUUAUUUAGUUUAAUAAAAAUAAUUUUAUUUAUAUUGUUUUUAGUAAUUUUUAAUGAAAUAAUUUUUUUAAUUAUAGUUUACUAGUAUUGUAAAAGAAUAUUUGAAAUAUAAUUAAUUUAUUUAAAAGUAGAAUUAAUUGUUUGUACCUUGUGUAUCAGGGUUUAUUAAAUAUAUUUAUUUAUUUUAAUUUUCCCGAUUUCAAAUGAGUUAAUAAUCUAUUCUAGUUAUUGUAAAAUAAAUAUUUGUAAUAGGUUGUUGGUAAUGAAAAGUUAUUCGUUUUUGAAUAUAUCUGGUUUACUUAGAAAUGAAUUUAAUUCAGAUAAUUUGAUUUAAUAGAUUUAAUUUGUUAAAUUUAUUAAUUUAAUUAUUAAUAAUUAAAGGGAUAAGCUUUUAAUUAAUGUUCUAUAAUUUUAUUGCUUUUUUUAGAAAUGUAGGUUUAGAAAUAGCCAUCAAUAUUAUUUUGUUAUAAUUAAUUUAGUUUAUAUGAGAUUUUAUAAUUAUUUAGUUUUAUAUAAGUUUAUAUGUAUUAAUGAUAAAUAUGUAGAAUUAAUGAUAAAAUUAGUAUAUUAAAAUUGUAAAAUUAAGAUUUGAGGAUUAGGUUAUUUAAAGGAAUUCGGCAAAUAUUUUACUCGCCUGUUUAACAAAAACAUGUCCUUUUGAAUAUAAUUUAAGGUCUAACCUGCCCAAUGAUUUUUUUGAAUGGCCGCAGUAUUUUGACUGUGCAAAGGUAGCAUAAUCAUUAGUUUUUUAAUUGAAAGCUUGUAUGAAGGGUUGGACGAGGUAAAUUCUGUCUCUAUUUAAUUUUUGUAGAAUUUAACUUUUAAGUGAAAAGGCUUAAAUGAAACUAAAAGACGAGAAGACCCUAUAGAUCUUUAUACAGUAAUUUAUUUAAUUAUUAAGGUUUUUUUUUAAUUUAAUUUUUUAUUGUAUUUUAUUGGGGUAAUAUAAAGAUAAAAUAAAUUCUUUGAAAUUUUAAACAUUAAUUUAUGAUUAAGUGAUCCAUUUUUAGUGAUUGUAAGAUUAAGUUACCUUAGGGAUAACAGCGUAAUUUCUAUAGAGAGUUCAUAUCGAUAUAGAAGUUUGCGACCUCGAUGUUGGAUUAAAAGUUAUUGUAGGUGCAAGAGUUUACAAAUUUGGUCUGUUCGACCAUUAGACUUUUACAUGAUCUGAGUUCAGACCGGCGUAAGCCAGGUCGGUUUCUAUCUUUAGUAAUUGAGCAUAUUUUAGUACGAAAGGACCAAAUAUGAAAUAUAUUGAUAUUUAAUUUUUUGAUUAUUAUU